rnacentral:rRNA from 1 species
CUACGGGGGGCUGCAGUGGGGAAUAUUGGGCAAUGGGCGCAAGCCUGACCCAGCAACGCCGCGUGAGGGAAGAAGGUUUUCGGAUUGUAAACCUCUGUCCUUGGGGACGAAGAAGUGACGGUACCCAAGGAGGAAGCUCCGGCUAACUACGUGCCAGCAGCCGCGGUAAUACGUAGGGAGCAAGCGUUGACCGGAAUUACUGGGCGUAAAGGGUGCGUAGGCGGCAUAUUAAGUCAGGUGUGAACUACUCGGGCUCAACCCGGGGGCUGCAUUUGAAACUGAUAUGCUUGAGUGUGAGAGAGGAAAGUGGAAUUCCUAGUGUAGCGGUGGAAUGCGUAGAUAUUAGGAGGAACACCAGUGGCGAAGGCGACUUUCUGGCUCAUAACUGACGCUGAGGCACGAAAGCGUGGGGAGCAAACAGGAUUAGAUACCCCGGUAGUC